ACAGCAUGGCUGAUUUUGGAAGUAACUUACGUACAGUAUAUCUACGUUUAAAUAGUGCACAUAUUUUCACCACAGCGCAAUCAUAUCGUCAAUACAGCUCUUUAAUUACGACGUGCAGAAAAGAGAGCUGGCAAGUGUCAGAGGCGUGACCCGCGCGCAUUGAUCUGAUAAUAGAGAGAUCAGUGGAUCCGCCCCGCACGAGUCUUUAAGUCAGUCGUCACGGACCUAAGGUGGGGGUGUCUACGCCCCCUGGUGUUUUCUGCAAUGUUAAGGCGCCAGCUAAAGGAGUAUCAGGUCCAAGGAGGCACAGCCAGCAGAAAGGCGGACAGGAAGAAUGCGGGACACGCACUUCAGGCCAGACACGCCCGACUGCAGACGACAACAACCGACGAUGGGAUGCAGAAGCAGCACUUCUGGUAUUGAUAAAUCAUUCAUGACCAAUUUUUUUUUUUUCCUGGUUUGACUCAUUAUUGGAUAGGUCUGCCCUCACCCACUCCUUAUUUUUGUAAUUCACAGAAAGCAGGCCAUUAGCUCAAACCAAUCCACGGUGACCAGCCAACACAACCCUUGGGUGCAUCCCAGACCUCCUGCCCCCACCCCCCCAAAAAAAAAAAACCA